UCUUGGAAACGGUCGCUCUCAGGAGAAAGGGAGGCCCUGUCCGCGUCCACCGUGCACCGUUCGGAGGGAGCCCCACCUGCCACCCCCACCCUGCCAUGCGCCUGCUGUGUGGCCCCAGCAGUGCCCACCCCAACCCGCGUCAGUCCUGAGUGGGAGCCCCACAGAGUGGACGCCUGGCUGUGUGUGGGGUCAGUGUGUCCUAGAAGCAGAUGGCUAAUUGAUCUUGGGACUGACACGAAGGAGAUUUCGACUAAUGGCAAAAGCGAGUGAAAUGAGCCGAGGACAGGCUGGGGCGGGCGCUCGCCAGACGCGGUGGUGCUGACCAUGCACGAUGGAAAGAAGAGGGUGUCACACACGGAGCCACAGACACACGGCGGCCCGUCCUGCACCUCGGCUCCGCCAGGCGCCCGCCCGCGGCACGACCCUCACCUUGGACUCGCGCUCCUCCAGCAGCGUCUCCAGGCGCUUCUGAGCCG